UCACCAGAGACCACAUAGCUAGAGAAUGGCCAAACUCAGUUUUGAAUCUAAGCAGUCUUGACUCCAGAGCCCUCCAGCUUAAAGGCCCAGAAAUGUGAACAAGAGUACCACUACAGCCCCUGAUGAGUUAAUAGAUCUCCAUAAUCAUCAUUAUCAUGAGAAGGCGCACAACCAAAACAAUUAAAUCAGAAUCUGUGAAGGUGGUGGAACUCGGCAUCAAUGCGUGUUAAAAUCCCUCAAGCGAUCCCUCAAGUGUACCACCAAGUCAGAACCACAGCAGACACAUUCAUCUGUGAAAGUUUGGGCACAGAUCAGGCUGAGACCUACUGAAUCUCCAGUACUGGCGUUUUGACAAGUGAUACCUGCAAGAAUGUUGCAGCUGAACCGAGAGAGAGGCGUGGAAGCAUCCAGCCCUGCAUUCCAAAGGUCCAGCCCUGGAACAGGGAAUCCGGACAUGAUCCUGAAAACUGAAGACACUGGGAAAUGUGGAGCCCAGGAGCGGAGGUGAACCCUCAAGGUGGCAGAACCCAGUGGAGCAGAGGUGGGCUUACAUGAGCUCCAACUGGGAAAGAGAAACCUUUCUCUGGUGAGCAAAUGGUAGAGAAGGGACCUGUUGGCACUUUAGACUCACAGUCUUGUCAUGCCCUUUUGUCCCCAAAGAUCUAAUCAUUGCUUGAUAUUUACUUACCCUGUAACAUAAAGGAAGUUUU